rnacentral:rRNA from 1 species
UACGUAGGGUCCGAGCGUUGUCCGGAAUUACUGGGCGUAAAGAGCUCGUAGGUGGUUUGUCGCGUUGUUCGUGAAAAUUCACAGCUCAACUGUGGGCGUGCGGGCGAUACGGGCAGACUUGAGUACUGCAGGGGAGACUGGAAUUCCUGGUGUAGCGGUGGAAUGCGUAGAGAUCAGGAGGAAUACCGAUGGCGAAGGCAGGUCUCUGGGCUGAUACUGACGCUCAUGCACGAAAGCGUGGGGAGCAAACAGG